AUUGAACGCUGGCGGCAUGCUUUACACAUGCCAGUCGAACGGCAGCGCGGGCUUCGGCCUGGCGGCGAGUGGCGAACGGGUGAGUAAUGCAUCGGAACGUGCCCAGUAGUGGGGGAUAGCCCGGCGAAAGCCGGAUUAAUACCGCAUACGACCUGAGGGUGAAAGCGGGGGACCGAAAGGCCUCGCGCUAUUGGAGCGGCCGAUGUCGGAUUAGCUAGUUGGUGGGGUAAAGGCUUACCAAGGCGACGAUCCGUAGCUGGUCUGAGAGGACGACCAGCCACACUGGGACUGAGACACGGCCCAGACUCCUACGGGAGGCAGCAGUGGGGAAUUUUGGACAAUGGGGGCAACCCUGAUCCAGCCAUGCCGCGGGCGGGAAGAAGGCCUUCGGGUUGUAAACCGCUUUUGUUCGGGAAGAAAUCCUCUGGGCUAAUACCCCGGGGGGAUGACGGUACCGGAAGAAUAAGCACCGGCUAACUACGU
rnacentral:rRNA from 1 species